UGGGGAAUAUUGGACAAUGGGCGCAAGCCUGAUCCAGCCAUGCCGCGUGAGUGAUGACGGCCUUAGGGUUGUAAAGCUCUUUCGCGCACGACGAUAAUGACGGUAGUGCGAGAAGAAGCCCCGGCUAACUUCGUGCCAGCAGCCGCGGUAAUACGAAGGGGGCUAGCGUUGUUCGGAUUAACUGGGCGUAAAGGGCGCGUAGGCGGGUCUUUAAGUCAGGGGUGAAAUCCCAAGGCUCAACCUUGGAACUGCCUUUGAUACUGGAGAUCUUGAGUCCGGGAGAGGUGAGUGGAACUGCGAGUGUAGAGGUGAAAUUCGUAGAUAUUCGCAAGAACACCAGUGGCGAAGGCGGCUCACUGGCCCGGAACUGACGCUGAGGCGCGAAAGCGUGGGGAGCAAACAGGAUUAGAUACCCCCGUAGUCC
rnacentral:rRNA from 1 species